rnacentral:tRNA from 1 species
GUUGUCGGUGGCAGAUUUGGUAAUGCACUCGGCUGUGACCCGAGUUGGAGUUGCUCCUCAUGCGGGUUCAAAUCCCGUCCGACACCCCA